rnacentral:rRNA from 1 species
CGGCCUCNCAUGCAGNUGAACGCACAGGAAGCNCCGNUAGUUUUCUUACACCGNUAUUCUGCUGAGUUGCGAACGGGUUGAGNUAACGCGUANGUAACCUGCCUGGUAUCGGGGGAUAACUAUUGNAAACGAUAGCUAAUACCGUAUAANAACAUUUACUGCAUGGUANAUGUUUAAAAGGUGCAAGAGCAUCACUACCANAUGGACCUGCGUUGUAUUAGCUAGUUGGUGAGGUAACGGCUCACCAAGGCAACGAUACAUACCCGACCUGAGAGGGUGAUCGGCCACACUGGGACUGAGACACGGCCCAGACUCCUACGGGAGGCAGCAGUAUGGAAUCUUCGGCAAUGGGGGGAACCCUGACCGAGCAACGCCGCGUGAGUGAAGAAGGUUUUCGGAUCGUAAAGCUCUGUUGUUAAGGAANAACGUGUGUGANAGUGGAAAGUUCACACAGUGACGGUACUUAACCAGAAAGGGACGGCUAACUACGUGCCAGCAGCCGCGGUAAUACGUAGGUCCCGAGCGUUGUCCGGAUUUAUUGGGCGUAAAGCGAGCGCAGGCGGUUAGAUAAGUCUGAANUGAAAGGCAGUGGCUCAACCAUUGUAGGCUUUGGAAACUGUUUAACUUGANUGCAGAAGGGGAGAGUGGAAUUCCAUGUGUANCGGUGAAAUGCGUAGAUAUAUGGAGGAACACCGGUGGCGAAAGCGGCUCUCUGGUCUGUAACUGACGCUGAAGCUCGAAAGCNUGGGGAGCGAACAGGAUUANAUACCCUGGUAGUCCACNCCNUAAACGAUGAGUG